rnacentral:rRNA from 1 species
CCGCGGGAUUAGAGUUUGAUCCUGGCUCAGAACGAACGCUGGCGGCAGGCCUCAAACAUGCAAGUCUAGGGGGUGUAGCAAUACAUCACCGGCGGACGGGUGCGUAACACGUGGGAAUAUACCUUUUGGUUCGGAACAACGCAGGGAAACUUGCGCUAAUACCGAAUGUGCCCUUACGGGGAAAGAUUUAUCGCCAAAGGAUUAGCCCGCGUAGGAUUAGCUAGUUGGUGAGGUAAUGGCUCACCAAGGCUCCGAUCCUUAGCUGUUCUGAGAGGAAGAUCAGCCACACUGGGACUGAGACACGGCCCAGACUCCUACGGGAGGCAGCAGUUGGGAAUCUUGGACAAUGGGGGAAACCCUGAUCCAGCCAUGCCGCGUGAGUGAUGAAGGCCUUCGGGUUGUAAAACUCUUUCGACGGGGACGAUAAUGACGGUACCCGUAGAAGAAGCUCCGGCUAACUUCGUGCCAGCAGCCGCGGUAAUACGAAGGGGGCUAGCGUUGUUCGGAAUUACUGGGCGUAAAGCGCGCGCAGGCGGUCUUCCAGGUCAGUGGUGAAAGCCCGGAGCUCAACUCCGGAACUGCCAUUGAAACUGUGAGACUUGAGGACGAGAGAGGUGAGUGGAAUUCCCAGUGUAGAGGUGAAAUUCGUAGAUAUUGGGAAGAACACCGGUGGCGAAGGCGGCUCACUGGCUCGUAUCUGACGCUCAGGCGCGACAGCGUGGGGAUCAAACAGGAUUAGAUACCCUGGUAGUCCACGCCGUANACGAUGAAUGCUAGCCGUUGGGCAGCUUGCUGUUCAGUGGCGCAGCUAACGCAUUAAGCAUUCCGCCUGGGGAGUACGGCCGCAAGGU